CUGGGCGUGAUGGAGCAGCGGGGGAGCGCAUCUGCCGCUGACCGGCGACAGCGAUCAUGCCGAUCGGCUAUGUCUCCUUGUUGCCAAGCAGAGUCAAGGGGUCGCAGGUUCAAAUCCUGUCGUCCCGACCA
rnacentral:tRNA from 1 species